AGAAAUAAAAUGGAAAAUGGGAAAUAAAAUGUGCUAUUUAUUGCAGGUCAAGAUAGAUUGCCUUUAUAUUCUACCUAGAUAAAAGUUCUUAGUGAUUUAAUUUUCUGUUUAUUGUCAUCCAGAUGUUCAAAAUACUGACCCAGCUGGUGUGGAAGUUUCAUUUUUUCCAACUUAUGAUAAUGAAUUGAAUCAUAAAAAAAAAUCAUAAAACAUCUCCAUAUUGCAUCCAUGGAGAUUCAUUAGGACGAUUUGCACUAAAUGGAUUUUUACAUGGAAUGAAUUUCUUUUCCAAAGUUCAACGAGAGUCAAGACUACAUCCGUACACGUUUAGGAGCCAAAAAUUAUUAUGCUAUACAUGGUCAGGUGGCAUUUGUCCAGAAGCUGACACGUCCUUUCCUUGCUAAAAGCCUUGGUUUGGAAUGGAAAGGAGUCAAGUACAGGAAGGAAAUGACUAUGGAAACUGUAAGAAUUUGAGACCUGAGCUAUCUUCAGACACAACAAAACAUUUCCUCCUGUUAUCGGCAGCCAUAAAAAACACAGAGAUGCUGCAACCCAAGUACCCAAGUGAAGGCAAAGUUCCAUCUGAGAAUGCCUUGGGCUCCAGAAGGUUCAGGUUCACAGCAUGAACUUAGAGACUUGAUAUUGAGAACACACUGGCUGGCAAGUCUUUGCUAAGUGAAGAUAAAGAUCACAAGCAUUUGUUUCGAGUCAUUUUUGGAGUAGUGAUGAAUCUGUGCAAUUUUAUUUUCAUCUCAACAGGACAUUGGAAGUUGCUAAGCUGUUUAAUGUAGGUAACAUUAUACUCUAUGAUAAAAAUGAUCCAUUAGUGAGCUGAGUGACAAAAAGAGUGUGUCUAAAAAAGAUUCUUAAGGAUAGGCCAAGAUUGUUUGCAUUUAUUUUAAUGAUAUCCAAAUGGUGUUCUAACUAAAGAUGUUAAUAAUUACCAUAAGCAAUAAAACUCUAGAAAGAGUUAAAUUUACUGGCAGGCUUUAUUCUGCUUCAAUGUUCUGUUUGACAUAGUUCCAUAACCUAUUCUCUUCAAGAAAUGCCAAUUUGUUUUAUUUUUAAAAAUUUCUUCCAUGUCUUAGCUGUGAGGAGAGACAGAGCAUGGAAAUUGUCAGGGAUAUAUAACGUUUGCAUUCACAUGCUCAUGGCUUUCCUUAGGGUGACUGAAAGGUCAAAGAAGAUGCUACAGGAAACUUUCAAGCAACAAUAAAUAUGGAAGUUAUUCCAGAGGGUGGGACUGGUCCUCUGUUUAUCUGGUACUAGAGGCACUUUAGUGGGCACCUGAUUUGUAAGCAUUAUGA